AGAGUUUGAUCCUGGCUCAGGAUGACCUUUGGCGGCGUGCCUAACACAUGCAAGUCGAACGGUUAAACCGCCCUCGGAGCGGACAUACAGUGGCGAACGGGUGAGUAACACGUGACCAACCUGCCCCGCGCUCCGGGACAACCGCUGGAAACGGCGGCUAAUACCGGAUACUCCGCGGCCCCCCGCAUGGGGGCGGCGGGAAAGCCCCGACGGCGCGGGAUGGGGUCGCGGCCCAUUAGGUAGUAGGCGGGGUAGAGGCCCACCUAGCCGACGAUGGGUAGCCGGACUGAGAGGUCGAUCGGCCACAUUGGGACUGAGAUACGGCCCAGACUCCUACGGGAGGCAGCAGUGGGGAAUUUUGCGCAAUGGGGGAAACCCUGACGCAGCAACGCCGCGUGCGGGACGAAGGCCCUCGGGUCGUAAACCGCUUUCAGCAGGGAAGACCACGACGGUACCUGCAGAAGAAGCUCCGGCUAACUACGUGCCAGCAGCCGCGGUAAUACGUAGGGGGCGAGCGUUAUCCGGAUUCAUUGGGCGUAAAGCGCGCGUAGGCGGCCGCCUAAGCGGAACCUCUAACCCCGGGGCUCAACCUCGGGCCGGGUUCCGGACUGGGCGGCUCGAGUGCGGUAGAGGAGAGCGGAAUUCCCGGUGUAGCGGUGGAAUGCGCAGAUAUCGGGAAGAACACCGAUGGCGAAGGCAGCUCUCUGGGCCGUCACUGACGCUGAGGCGCGAAAGCUGGGGGAGCGAACAGGAUUAGAUACCCUGGUAGUCCCAGCCGUAAACGAUGGAUGCUAGGUGUGGGGGGAUCCCCCCUCCGUGCCGCAGCCAACGCAUUAAGUAUCCCGCCUGGGGAGUACGGCCGCAAGGCUAAAACUCAAAGGAAUUGACGGGGGCCCGCACAAGCAGCGGAGCAUGUGGCUUAAUUCGAAGCAACGCGAAGAACCUUACCAGGGCUUGACAUGCGCCUGAAGCCGCGGAGACGCGGUGGCCGAGAGGAGGGCGCGCAGGUGGUGCAUGGCUGUCGUCAGCUCGUGUCGUGAGAUGUUGGGUUAAGUCCCGCAACGAGCGCAACCCCCGUCCCGUGUUGCCAGCAUUAGGUUGGGGACUCGCGGGAGACUGCCGGCGUCAAGCCGGAGGAAGGUGGGGACGACGUCAAGUCAUCAUGCCCCUUAUGCCCUGGGCUGCACACGUGCUACAAUGGCCGGUACAGAGGGUUGCCACCCCGCGAGGGGGAGCGGAUCCCGGAAAGCCGGCCCCAGUUCGGAUCGCAGGCUGCAACCCGCCUGCGUGAAGCCGGAGUUGCUAGUAAUCGCGGAUCAGCACGCCGCGGUGAAUACGUUCCCGGGCCUUGCACACAACGCCCGUCA
rnacentral:rRNA from 1 species